ACAACUAGUAAACUGGCGGACGGGUGAGUAACGCGUAGGCAACCUGCCUUUAAGAUUGGGAUAACGUUUGGAAACGAACGCUAAUACCGAAUAAUAUUCUUUGAAUCAAAGAGGGCUUCGGCUCUUGCUUAAAGAUGGGCCUGCGUCUGAUUAGCUAGAUGGUAAGGUAAUGGCUUACCAUGGCAACGAUCAGUAGCUGGUUCGAGAGGAUGAUCAGCCACACUGGGACUGAGAUACGGCCCAGACUCCUACGGGAGGCAGCAGUAGGGAAUUUUGCGCAAUGAGGGAAACCUUGACGCAGCAACGCCGCGUGAUCGAAGAAGCUUCUAGGAGUGUAAAGAUCUGUCAUAGGGGAAGAAAUACGUAUAUUCUAACACAAUAUUCGUUUGACGGUACCCUAUAAGAAAGCUCCGGCUAACUAGGUGCCAGCAGCCGCGGUAAUACCUGGGGGGCAAGCGUUGUCCGGAUUCAUUGGGCGUAAAGGGCUCGUAGGUGGGCUGACCAGUCAAAAUUGAAAUACAAUGGCUUAACCAUUGGAACGGUUUUGAUACUAUCAGUCUUGAGUGAAAUAGAGGUAAGCGGAAUUCCUAGUGUAGCGGUGAAAUGCGUAGAUAUUAGGAGGAACACCAAAGGCGAAGGCAGCUUACUGG
rnacentral:rRNA from 1 species